GCCGGGCAUGGCGGUGCGCGUCUAUAAUCCCAGGUACUCGGGAGGCUGAGGUGGGAGGAUCGCUUGAGUCCAGGAGUUCUGGGCUGCAGUACGCUAUGCUGCCUGGGUAUCCACACUAAGUUCGGCAUCAAUAUGGUGACCUCCCAGAAGCAGGGCACCACCAGGUUGCCUGAGGGGUGAACCGGCCCAGGUAGGAAACGGAGCAGGUAAAAAGUCCCGUGCUGACCAAAAUACCCAGAGGAAGGUUGGCAACCUGUUCAGAACAAAAUCCUGCCAACCAUUCUCAA
rfam:Fukomys damarensis contig105202, whole genome shotgun sequence.